rnacentral:rRNA from 1 species
UAGGGAAUCUUCGGCAAUGGACGAAAGUCUGACCGAGCAACGCCGCGUGAGUGAAGAAGGUUUUCGGAUCGUAAAACUCUGUUGUUAGAGAAGAACAAGGACGUUAGUAACUGAACGUCCCCUGACGGUAUCUAACCAGAAAGCCACGGCUAACUACGUGCCAGCAGCCGCGGUAAUACGUAGGUGGCAAGCGUUGUCCGGAUUUAUUGGGCGUAAAGCGAGCGCAGGCGGUUUCUUAAGUCUGAUGUGAAAGCCCCCGGCUCAACCGGGGAGGGUCAUUGGAAGCUGGGAGACUUGAGUGCAGAAGAGGAGAGUGGAAUUCCAUGUGUAGCGGUGAAAUGCGUAGAUAUAUGGAGGAACACCAGUGACGAAGGCGGCUCUCUGGUCUGUAACUGACGCUGAGGCUCGAAAGCGUGGGGAGCAAACAGG